CUUCUGCUAUGAUGAUUUUUUGAAUAAAUUUUACAUGUCAGACUUUUAGAGAUUUUUGUUUAUCAUUAAGAAUCUUUGAUAAUAAAAAAUCAGAGCAGAAG
rfam:Arabidopsis thaliana chromosome 5, complete sequence.